rnacentral:tRNA from 1 species
GGGUAUAUAGCUCAGUAGUCAGAGCACAUGCUUAGCACUCACAAGGUCAUGGGUUCGAUCCCCGGUACUUCCA